rnacentral:lncRNA from 1 species
UGAAAUGUUAGCCAUAAAGGAUUAGAUAAUUUAUUAAUAUACUGUAGAUCGAUAAUCAGCAGAACAGCAGUAACAAGUUAGGAAAUAAAUAUGUUUCCUAGGUUAUAUAACAAGAGUCAGCAAAAAUAACGAUUAUAACAUCUUUUAAAAAACUUAACAUUACUUAACGAUCAACACUAGUUAAAUGGUACAAGACAAUACGGACGAUUUCAAAUAAAGCUUAUAUACACCAGUAAGCAUUUUCUCUACCAUGAUAUCACAGUUUCUGCUUCAUCAGUAUCUACGCGAAAAAUGUAUUAAAGACUUGAAUUUAUCGCUUUAAUAGAAUCAAUGUUCCUGCUACACGACUUCUCUCAUUGAAAUCUGCGAAUAAAUUCGUUCAUGAGGUGGCAUGACCUUUUUGGGACGUCGGGAUCUGGUGUUUUUAAGCUCGGGUUUUCGAUAUUGUGAUUUAAAUUUCUUUUAAUUAGGGACUUCGGGAUUUCAUGUUUUUUUAGCCCGCGAUUUCUGGAUAUGGACCCCUCCUACACCCCCUUUCCGCCCGUUCAUAGUUCAUAUAAUUAAAGCAUGUGAUGUUUCAAUAAGGCUAGGUGAAAUGCUCGGUUCUAUUUUUUCUUUUCACUACCUUCCUUAAGAAGAUCGCUACUAUUGUUUUUGAGUUUUUGUCAGAUAAUCGGAAUCCUCUGGUUUUAGCCAUUAAUUGUCAUUUUAAUUUUUACCCGCUAAUCAUUACUUUUCAUUUGAUGAUUUUUUUGAUAGUUUUCAAAAAGCCAUAUUUGAAAAUCUUAUAAAAUCCUUGUUAUUUAAUUAGAUUUAAAAGCCAUAUUUGAAAAUCUUAUAAAAUCCUUUUUAGUUAUAUAGUUUUAAAAGCCAUAUUUGAAAAUGUUAUGAAAUCCCUGUU